GGCGGUGUUUGGCACCUCGAUGUCGGCUCAUCACAUCCUGGGGCUGAAGUAGGUCCCAAGGGUAUGGCUGUUCGCCAUUUAAAGUGGUACGCGAGCUGGGUUUAGAACGUCGUGAGACAGUUCGGUCCCUAUCUGCCGUGGGCGCUGGAGAAUUGAGGGGGGCUGCUCCUAGUACGAGAGGACCGGAGUGGACGCAUCACUGGUGUUCGGGUUGUCAUGCCAAUGGCACUGCCCGGUAGCUAAAUGCGGAAGAGAUAAGUGCUGAAAGCAUCUAAGCACGAAACUUGCCCCGAGAUGAGUUCUCCCUGAGACUUUAAGUCUCCUGAAGGAACGUUGAAGACGACGACGUUGAUAGGCCGGGUGUGUAAGCGCAGCGAUGCGUUGAGCUAACCGGUACUAAUGAACCGUGAGGCUUAACCUUAC
rnacentral:rRNA from 1 species